rnacentral:misc_RNA from 1 species
UGGACUAGUUUGGAUUCUAACCCAAUAGCCCUUCUCAACGUCAUAUGCUGCUAGCUUAUCACUUUCUGAAUAAACAUAAAACAACCCAUUGCACACAACCCCUGAACAAGCUAUUCCAAAAUCUACAGGAAGCCUCUGGAUCUCUGUCCAUUUAUUUGACAUGGAAUCAUAAAUUUCCCCAGAAUCCAGAGGCUCAUCCCAGCAACCGAGACCUCCUA